rnacentral:rRNA from 1 species
UUCGUGUGAACAGUGGUUGAUCACGAGUUAGUCGGUCCUAAGUUCAAGGCGAAAGCCGAAAAUUUUCAAGUAAUUAACGAAAUCAAAAUAUAUUUAACAAUCUUAUCGAUUUUUUAAGCACUUGAAUAAUUUUGAACGAAAGGGAAUACGGUUCCAAUUCCGUAACCUGUUGAGUAUCCGUUUGUUAUUAAAUAUGGGCCUCGUGCUCAUCCUGGCAACAGGAACGACCAUAAAGAAGCCGUCGAGAGGUAUCGGAAGAGUUUUCUUUUCUGUUUUAUAGCCGUACUACCAUGGAAGUCUUUCGCAGAGAGAUAUGGUAGAUGGGCUAGAAGAGCAUGACAUAUACUGUUGUGUCGAUAUUUUCUCCUCGGACCUUGAAAAUUUAUGGUGGGGAUACGCAAACUUCUCAACAGGCCGUACCAAUAUCCGCAGCUGGUCUCCAAGGUGAAGAGUCUCUAGUCGAUAGAAUA